rnacentral:misc_RNA from 1 species
GUGAAUCAUCAAAUUUUUGAACGCAAAUUGCGCCUUUUUCGGAAGGCAUGUCUGUUUGAGGGCCCCAUUUAACAAAUAAUGUGCAGCGUUUUUUGUUGCACACUUUGAUGAGCUUUCCAAGUAUUUUACAUUUUUGGUUGCGCAUACUGAACAUCGUGAAAUUUUUUUUCUGUUCGAUUGUCGUAAAAUCUUUUCUUGGUUUGUUAAUCUACAUACUCGCACUCUUGGUGUGGC